rnacentral:rRNA from 1 species
AUUGAACGCUGGCGGCAGGCCUAACACAUGCAAGUCGAGCGAGCGGCGGACGGGUGAGUAAUGUAUGGGGACUGCCCGAUAGAGGGGGACAACUACUGGAAACGGUGGCUAAUACCGCAUACUAUCGGAUAACCCAUAUGGGAUUAGCUAGUAGGUGGGGUAAAGGCUCACCUAGGCGACGAUCUCUAGCUGGUCUGAGAGGAUGAUCAGCCACACUGGAACGUAGACACGGCCCAUACUCCUACGGAGGCAGCAGUGGGGAAUAUUGCACAAUGGGCGAAAGCCUGAUGCAGCGAUGCCGCGUGUGUUAAGAAGGCCUUCGGGUUGUAAAGUACUUUCGGCGGGAAGGCGUUACCCGCAGAAGAAGCACCGGCUAACUCCGUGCCAGCAGCCGCGGUAAUUC